ACGUAGGGCGCAAGCGUUAUCCGGAAUUAUUGGGCGUAAAGAGCUCGUAGGCGGUUUGUCGCGUCUGCCGUGAAAGUCCGGGGCUCAACUCCGGAUCUGCGGUGGGUACGGGCAGACUAGAGUGAUGUAGGGGAGACUGGAAUUCCUGGUGUAGCGGUGAAAUGCGCAGAUAUCAGGAGGAACACCAAUAGCGAAGGCAGCUCGCUGGGACGUUACUGACACUGAGAUGCGAAAGCGUGGGGAGCAAACAGGA
rnacentral:rRNA from 1 species